rnacentral:rRNA from 1 species
CCUACGGGGAGCAGCAGUGAGGAAUAUUGGUCAAUGGACGCAAGGCUGAACCAGCCAUGCCGCGUGCAGGAAGACGGCUCUAUGAGUUGUAAACUGCUUUUGUACGAGGGUAAACGCAGAUACGCGUAUCUGUCUGAAAGUAUCGUACGAAUAAGGAUCGGCUAACUCCGUGCCAGCAGCCGCGGUAAUACGGAGGAUUCAAGCGUUAUCCGGAUUUAUUGGGUUUAAAGGGUGCGUAGGCGGUCGGAUAAGUUAGAGGUGAAAUCCCGAGGCGCAACUUCGGAAUUGCCUCUGAUACUGUUCGGAUAGAGAGUAGUUGCGGUAGGCGGAAUGUAUGGUGUAGCGGUGAAAUGCUUAGAGAUCAUACAGAACACCGAUUGCGAAGGCAGCUUACCAAGCUACUUCUGACGUUGAGGCACGAAAGCGUGGGGAGCAAACAGGAUUAGAUACCCUGGUAGUC